GUCAAUGGCAUUUUCUUCACCGUCUCUGUUGCUAAUUCACAGCUAUAGAAAGAUACAACACAACAGAAGUAGCAGACCUUCAAUUGAUUUUUGCUUAGUCUUUUGGGCCCAUAAUCAUUUUUUUUCAUUGCACACUUUUAUAUACUUCACAAAAUGUAUGGGUUGUCAAGAUUGGAUAUGAUAAUGGGUAUGUAUAUUGUAUUUAGUAUG
rnacentral:lncRNA from 1 species